rnacentral:rRNA from 1 species
GACGAACGCUGGCGGCGUGCCUAAUACAUGCAAGUAGAACGCACAGUUUAUACCGUAGCUUGCUACACCAUAGACUGUGAGUUGCGAACGGGUGAGUAACGCGUAGGUAACCUGCCUGGUAGCGGGGGAUAACUAUUGGAAACGAUAGCUAAUACCGCAUAAUAUUGAUUAUUGCAUGAUAAUUGAUUGAAAGAUGCUAUUGCAUCACUACCAGAUGGCCCUGCGUUGUAUUAGCUAGUAGGUGAGGUAACGGCUCACCUAGGCGACGAUACAUAGCCGACCUGAGAGGGUGGUCGGCCACACUGGGACUGAGACACGGCACAGACUCCUACGGGAGGCAGCAGGAGGGAUUCUUCGGCAAUGGACGGAAGUCUGAGCAAACAACGCGGCGGGCGUGAGGAAGGUUUUCGGGUCGUAAAGCACUGUUGUAAGGGAAGAACGGGUGUGAGAGUGGAAAGUUCACACUGUGACGGUAUCUUACAAGAAAGGGACGGCUAACUACGUG